GGUUACUGCUAUCGGUGUUCGCCUAAGCCAUGCGAGUCAUAUGUUCUUCGGAACAUGGCGUACUGCUCAGUAACACGUGGAUAACCUGCCCUUGGGUCCGGCAUAACCCCGGGAAACUGGGGAUAAUUCCGGAUAACGCACAUAUGCUGGAAUGCUUUAUGCGUCAAAUGGAUUCGUCCGCCCAAGGAUGGGUCUGCGGCCUAUCAGGUAGUAGUGGGUGUAAUGUACCUACUAGCCUACGACGGGUACGGGUUGUGAGAGCAAGAGCCCGGAGAUGGAUUCUGAGACAUGAAUCCAGGCCCUACGGGGCGCAGCAGGCGCGAAAACUUUACAAUGCGGGAAACCGUGAUAAGGGGACACCGAGUGCCAGCAUCAUAUGCUGGCUGUCCAGGUGUGUAAAAUACACCUGUUAGCAAGGGCCGGGCAAGACCGGUGCCAGCCGCCGCGGUAACACCGGCGGCCCGAGUGGUGAUCGUGAUUAUUGGGUCUAAAGGGUCCGUAGCCGGUUUGGUCAGUCCUCCGGGAAAUCUGACGGCUUAACCGUUAGGCUUUCGGGGGAUACUGCCAGACUUGGAACCGGGAGAGGUAAGAGGUACUACAGGGGUAGGAGUGAAAUCUUGUAAUCCCUGUGGGACCACCUGUGGCGAAGGCGUCUUACCAGAACGGGUUCGACGGUGAGGGACGAAAGCUGGGGGCACGAACCGGAUUAGAUACCCGGGUAGUCCCAGCCGUAAACGAUGCUCGCUAGGUGUCAGGCAUGGCGCUACCGUGUCUGGUGCCGCAGGGAAGCCGUGAAGCGAGCCACCUGGGAAGUACGGCCGCAAGGCUGAAACUUAA
rnacentral:rRNA from 1 species